GAUGAACGCUGGCGGCGUGCCUAAUACAUGCAAGUCGAGCGAACGGACGAGAAGCUUGCUUCUCUGAUGUUAGCGGCGGACGGGUGAGUAACACGUGGAUAACCUACCUAUAAGACUGGGAUAACUUCGGGAAACCGUAGCUAAUACCGGAUAAUAUUUUGUACCGCAUGGUUCAAAAGUGAAAGACGGUCUUGCUGUCACUUAUAGAUGGAUCCGCGCCGCAUUAGCUAGUUGGUAAGGUAACGGCUUACCAAGGCAACGAUGCAUAGCCGACCUGAGAGGGUGAUCGGCCACACUGGAACUGAGACACGGUCCAGACUCCUACGGGAGGCAGCAGUAGGGAAUCUUCCGCAAUGGGCGAAAGCCUGACGGAGCAACGCCGCGUGAGUGAUGAAGGUCUUCGGAUCGUAAAACUCUGUUAUUAGGGAAGAACAUAUGUGUAAGUAACUGUGCACAUCUUGACGGUACCUAAUCAGAAAGCCACGGCUAACUACGUG
rnacentral:rRNA from 1 species